CAACUCGGCUGCAUGAAGCUGGAAUCGCUAGUAAUCGCGGAUCAGAAUGCCGCGGUGAAUACGUUCCCGGGUCUUGUACACACCGCCCGUCACACCAUGGAGCCGGAAACGCCCAAAGACAGCGGCCUAACCGCAAGGAGGGAACUGUCUAUGGCGGGUCUGGUGACCGGGGUGAAGUCGUAACAAGGUAUC
rnacentral:rRNA from 1 species